GACGAACCGUCCUAACGUUGUUCGGAAUCACUGGGCUUAAAGGGCGCGUAGGCGGCCUUGAAAGUCGGGGGUGAAAUCCCACGGCCUAACCGGUGGAAGUGCCUCCGAUACUGCAAGGCUCGAGGGAGGUAGGGGCAGCGGGAACUUCCGGUGGAGCGGUGAAAUGCGUAGAGAUCGGGAGGAACACCGGCGGCGAAGGCGGCUGCCUGGACCGGCCCUGACGCUGAC
rnacentral:rRNA from 1 species